AGCAUCCUACGGGGGGCAGCAGUAGGGAAUCUUCCACAAUGGGCGAAAGCCUGAUGGAGCAACGCCGCGUGGGUGAAGAAGGUCUUCGGAUCGUAAACCCCUGUUGUUAGAGAAGAAAGUGCGUGAGAGUAACUGUUCACGUUUCGACGGUAUCUAACCAGAAAGCCACGGCUAACUACGUGCCAGCAGCCGCGGUAAUACGUAGGUGGCAAGCGUUAUCCGGAUUUAUUGGGCGUAAAGGGAACGCAGGCGGUCUUUUAAGGCUGAUGUGACAGCGUU
rnacentral:rRNA from 1 species